UGUCCUACGGGGGGCAGCAGUGAGGAAUAUUGGUCAAUGGACGGAAGUCUGAACCAGCCAUGCCGCGUGCAGGAAGACGGCUCUAUGAGUUGUAAACUGCUUUUGUACAAGGGUAAACCUGAAUACGUGUAUUCAGCUGAAAGUACUGUACGAAUAAGGAUCGGCUAACUCCGUGCCAGCAGCCGCGGUAAUACGGAGGAUCCAAGCGUUAUCCGGAAUUAUUGGGUUUAAAGGGUGCGUAGGCGGUUUGAUAAGUUAGAGGUGAAAUGUCGGGGCUCAAACCCGAAACUGCCUCUAAUACUGUU
rnacentral:rRNA from 1 species